rnacentral:rRNA from 1 species
UACAGAGACUGCAAGCAUUAUUCGGAAUCACUGGGCGUAAAGCGCACGUAGGCGGAUUGCUAAGUCAGGGGUGAAAUCCUGGAGCUCAACUCCAGAACUGCCCUUGAUACUGGCGGUCUCGAGUCCGGGAGAGGUGAGUGGAACUGCGAGUGUAGAGGUGAAAUUCGUAGAUAUUCGCAAGAACACCAGUGGCGAAGGCGGCUCACUGGCCCGGUACUGACGCUGAGGUGCGAAAGCGUGGGGAGCAAACAGG